GGGGGAGAUACUGCUCUAAUUAGGAAAUAAGACUUUGUCUUAGAUGACUUUUUUUAUUCCUCUUGAAACAAUUUUCAAACAUAGCUGGAACUACAACUGGCCAAGAAGGAGGAGAAGCUGCUGGAGAAGGAUUUCAUCUAUGAACAGGUCUCCAGGCUCACGGACAGGCUCUGCAGCAAAACUCAGGACUGCAAGCAGGACACACUGCUCUUAGCCAAGAAGAUGAAUGGCUACCAAAGAAGGAUCAAAAAUGCAACUGAGAAAAUGAUGGCUCUUGUUGCUGAGCUGUCCAUGAAACAAGCCCUAACCAUUGAACUCCAAAAGGAAGUCAGGGAGAAAGAAGACUUCAUCUUCACUUGCAAUUCCAGGAUAGAAAAAGGUCUGCCACUCAAUAAGGAAAUUGAGAAAGAAUGGUUGAAAGUCCUUCGAGAUGAAGAAAUGCAUGCCUUGGCCAUCGCUGAAAAGUCUUGGGAGUUCUUGGAAGCAGAUAAUCGCCAGCUGCCCAAUGGUGUUUACACAACUGCAGAGCAGCGUCCGAAUGCCUACAUCCCAGAGGCAGAUGGCACUCUUCCUUUGCCAAAACCUUAUGGUGCUUUGGCUCCUUUUAAACCUAGUGAACCUGGAGCCAAUAUGAGGCACAUAAGGAAACCUGUUAUAAAGCCAAUUGAAAUCUGAAUAUGUGAACAAAUCCAGGCCUCUCAAGGAAAGGACUUCAACCAGGCUU
rnacentral:sRNA from 1 species